GAACGAGAAAGUGGAGCAAUCCAUGAGUAAAGUGGCGACCGGGUGAGUAACACGUGACUAACUUGCCCUCGAGUGGGGGAUAACCUCGGGAAACCGGGGCUAAUACCGCAUAACAUCUUCGGGAUGAGAAGCCGAAGAUCAAAGGAGCAAUUCGCUUGAGGAGAGGGUCGCGGCUGAUUAGCUAGUUGGUGGGGUAACGGCCCACCAAGGCGGUGAUCGGUAGCCGGCCUGAGAGGGCGCACGGCCACACUGGAACUGAAACACGGUCCAGACUCCUACGGGAGGCAGCAGUGGGGAAUUUUGCGCAAUGGGGGAAACCCUGACGCAGCAACGCCGCGUGGAGGAUGAAGCCCUUUGGGGCGUAAACUCCUUUCGACCGGGACGAUAAUGACGGUACCGGUGGAAGAAGCACCGGCUAACUCUGUG
rnacentral:rRNA from 1 species